GCUGAUGGAGGCGGUGCAGAGGGAAGCAUCUAGAGUGGCUCCAUGCUUAGCAUGACCUGAUGGCUGCUCAGAUGCAGUUUCAACCUCAGAAUAGUGGGCCAGGCUCUAGGGCCAUACUGGGGAAGAUCUCAUCUCUGUAGAGAUCUAGAGAUCUGAAAGGGAGUUUUAGUGUCAGCUCAAGAUCAGAAGAAAGUGGGAAAAGCACAGGAGCAGAAGUGCCUGUAAGGACAAGUGCUGGAGGACAGGCUGUGGCGCUAGAAAGGGUGUGAGGCUCGAGGAUGGCUUGGGGCUCCGUGUCAGUGCUAGGCUGGAUGAACAUCACAGGGCCACACCACAACGCCCCGAUUGGUACAGCAGAGGUGUACCUCACGGCCACACACAGCUGUCAAGCAUCCUGGAAGCUAUCCUCAGAAGAAUGGAUUCCCUAACUAACAGAAGUUCAGAUUCUCACUGGAAUCCCUGUGCAUGGCUGGUAGAACGUGAAGUGAUAUAACUACCAGGGAGAAAUGGUCUGACGGAUGAUAAAAGGCACACGACAUUGCCACAGACAAGCAACAUGACCUGAAGAAGCAAGUGCUUUUGUGCUUCUUGUGGUGAUAUGGGUGUUCAGUUCAAGUCGUACCUUGUUGUGAAGCCUCACAGUCCCUUCUGGCAUCUACUGGUCUCUGGACAAUUCCAGCACUAAAUUCUGGACCACAAAGCCUAGCACUCACACUCCUAUCUGCUGAUCAUUUCUACGACAUUCUUUGCUUUGUCAUGGGAAGACACAUCAAUGAAUUUUUUUUUCCUGACUCACUAAUCUUUUAUCAUACAAAAAUGCCUGAUGUGUGUGUGUUUUUUUUUAAAGAAUGCUAAAUCACUACAGCACCCAAACUUUCAAAGUAAGAAAUAAUUUUGUUAAAUGGCAUGCAAAUGGUAUUAUGGUCAGGAUCUAGGAAAACUGGAAUCCUGCGCUGGACUUCCUGGAAAGCUCCCAAUGGAGAAUACAGAUGGUCCUUGAUUUAGGGUGAUUUGACUCAUGAUAUUUUUUACUUUCCCAUGUCGUGACAUGAUACACAUUCAACAGUGAAGCACACCCAACACAUUCGUAUGCACCAAGGACAAUAGUUAAGCAAAAUUAAGUAGACUAUUCAUUGCUGGCUGGGCUUGAGCUGGGAACUCAAUAAGAAGAAAUUAUGAGUGGAACUCAACCACAUAGAUCAGGCUCUUUCUUUAUCAAUCUAAUAAGAACUAAGAAACUUCUGUCCAACAAGCAACCUGACACAUGGAGCAGGAGGCAUAUUGAGAAAGCAGCAGAAAAGCAGCAAGAGAGAGAAUGCUUGCUUCCACUGCCUGGUCCUGAGCUGGCCCAGAGAGCUGUGGGAAGUGAGCCCUGUGUGCCUGUGAAAAACCAGAGCAGGAAAGACCAGGCUCUGUUCUUUCCACAACUAAAGGGAGAAGAGAAGCCGGUUGGCUGGACUUGCCUUGGACUGCAUUGGGAGAGGCAGGCCCUGUGCCCACUUAUUAUUUUUCAUCAUAGAAAUAAUAGACAGACAGACAGGGCAUGAACUAGGAAUGAUCCUAACACCUUUCAAUUCUGCAGCAUGGAAAAAGCAGAAAAAUGCAGAGAGCGUUUCAGUCAGCCCAUCCACAGAUGAAGGUUAUUUUAAUGCAUAUAGUAACCUUGACCCAAGUAGAAUCCCUGACUUGUACACUUCAUGCAGAGUUUUCUUCUUGAGGGGAGGAUAGGAAGAGAACUGGAGGGGAUUAGGAAGCUCUGCCUCUCCUAAAACCUGCAGGGCACCAUCCUCGUGAUUUGACCUCAAUUCAUUUAGCAAAGGUUCUCAAAGAUUGGAAUUAAAAAAAAAGAUUUUGGAAAACCUUGAAUAAACUAAAAAAUUUA